CCUCAAGCGAUCUCGUUAUUUUUUGUGUGGAAAGAAUGCGCGUGUCUGCAGACGGUCAGUGAGAAAAUUUUGAAAUGACUUUUUUCUCUUUUUUUUUUUCAAAAUAGUGAUGGAGCAGGAAAAAGAGACAUGAAGUAAGUCCCUCACGUUUCUUCUGAUUUUAUUUAUCCUAUAUAGUAGGCUGAAAUAUGCACAUGUAUAAUCAUUAAUGUCUUUUUUUUUUUUGGCUUCUGGUCAAUUUAAAGUACAAGCCGAGUGCCACAAUUUUUCUUUAGGAUCAGGUUAAGUUAAUGUACCCCCCCCACACACACACACAUAUGCAUGCCUAGACACAUUAAUUAAGUCUUUUUUUAAAAAUUAUUUGCAGACGGAUACCGAGACUGAUACGGAGGCACAGCCACAGCCACAGCCAGGGGGAGUGGUCGUGGUAGAGCAAACCAGCACUGUACGUACAAUACAGUUACAAUUGCGUGUGGCAGUUGAUUGAUGUUAGCCAAGUUGGAUAAGGCAUUAUAUAUCGGGCGCUGAGGGGAAAUUUUUUUUCUUUCUAAGUUUAUAAUUUUAGAAAAAUUUUAUAGGUAGAGCAAGUAAAUGAUUUUUUUUAAAUAAAAAAACAGAUGAAAGAGUGUGAGUGACGAAAGAGAGUGAGGGACGAAAGUUUUCAGAAUGCGUGUAUGGAUGACGUAAAUUAUUUGCUGUUGACCUAUUUCGUCUUCUUUCUUCACUGAGUGAUACCAACACAGCCAGGUACGGAGUGUAUGACGUAUUUUUGCCUUUUUUUUUUUUCAGCCUAUGGAAUCACCAGGGGCGGGAGGAGGUGGCAAAAGAAAAAAAUCACCAUCGAACACCUGUUCAGACACUUGCAGUCUAUAACUGAGGAUUUGCCCGAAGAAGGGGCAAUGGAGCUCGGCUAUAGACUCCAUACCGAGUGUCAUCGUUUCAUGCUCGAGUGGAAUGCAUCUCAUUAGAGAAAAGCAAAACCCAGAAGAGCCAAUUCCAGGGGGAAGUGAUUCUGCACCCAAGAGGAGGGAGUUUGUAAAAAUUCUUAAAUGUUUCUGAUCUAAUGAAUUAUAAUUUUGAAGGGACUUGUUUCUCCUUUUUUUUUUUUUUUUUUUUUUUCCAAGAUAGUCAUGUAAGAGCGAAAGAGAUUCAUAGGUACAUCCCUCAUGUUUCUUCUGAUUUAACGUACUGCCUGGAGAUAAACUCUAUAAAACCUGACGGUUGUGUUUACUUUGCAUGCUUGGGAGUACUGUCAGCUUUCUUUGUGACAGUUUUAUUUUGUUAGCCUUAUUUUCUACUCUGCUUGUCUUCCAUAAAUCAUUGGUGUGUUAAAGGCGAAUGAAAAAAAAAAAAUAAAUAAAUAAAUUGGUGUGUU